AAGUCGUAACAAGGUUUCCGUAGGUGAACCUGCGGAAGGAUCAUUAACACGUAUCCAACGUUAAACCCCCCCGUGAACGUACAUUCCUUCUCCGCUUACAGAAAAUUGGUUGCAAUCCCUGGUAAAUCAUCGCCAAACAGUUUUGAUUCAGGGACUUCUAACACGUAAGUGUUUAACCCAGAGGAAAGUAGACGAGAGUUCGACUAUCCCAAGGUGUUGAGUGCGCUUUCGAUUUGCAAAAAUGAACGUAAUCAGGGGGUUGUGAAAGUGUUCAACCUGAUUAUUUUUAUCUUUGGAAGUAGAAAGUGUACGAGAUGCUCUUGACCCCUUGAAACGACAGGGUGUCGCGAAAACGUGGUAAGGCAUGAUUUUACUUGUACCGAAAGGUCCAAGUACUAACUGAACAACUGUUAACAAUGGAUAUCUUGGUUCUC
rnacentral:misc_RNA from 1 species